rnacentral:lncRNA from 1 species
UCUGCUCCCACCUGCAGGAACGUUUCAUUAGCCAAGAAGUAUGAAGAGGAGGAACCAACGAAGGACUCUGACCCUAAGCCCAGGUCUGGAGACCAGGACAGAAGAAGGAAAAGGACCAGAAGCAGGUCCAGGUCAAGAGGAAGAUCCAGAGGUUCCAAGAGCUCCAGAACCCGGUCAAGAUCCAGACAAAGAUCAGAGGGAAGCAAAAAGAGGAGCACAUCCAGAUCAAGAGACAGCAAAACGUCCAGAAGUCACGGUAGAACCAGGUCCAGGUCCAAAGAACGCUCAGAGGGAAGAAAAAGGAGCAGAACCAGGUCCGCAUCCAUAGAACAAUCCAGCAACUCCUCCAGACAGAACCAGAAUAAAGAGACCUCAAAAGAACCAGGUGAGGAGGUAGACCUGAAGAGCAGCGUCAGGAAGGUGGCCAAGCCCGGUUCUGGGUUGGAGGGUGGUUCUGGUGAUUGACAGGUUUGACAGCAGCUUUACCUUUAAUCCAGAACCAACUGAGGCAGAACAAAAACCCAAAUAAUGGGAUUGUCAGUGCUGCCCGUGGUCUCAUGAUCAUGGAGAAACAUCCGCUGGAAAACACAUUGAUCUCACUCUUCCACCGUAUUCUGCUCCUCAUCCUCCUCUUUGCUCAGAGCCUCCUCUCAGAGUGGAGCUCCAGACGGUCACAGGUAACAUCCCACACCAAGAAGCUGCUGGUGACGAUGAGGAGGACAGCAUGUCCACCGACGGGAGUGACAAGGGGAUGGAGGUGAUCGCAGAGGACGGGAGGAUGAUCAAGGAUAAGGAUGAAGAAAGCCUGAAAGAGGAAAGUGCUGAGGAGAACAGGACCUCUGAAGAGAUGCCAGCCUCAUCUGAGAGAGAAGAGGAGAAGAAAAUGGACACUGAGGAUGAGGAGAAGACUUCAGCGGGAGCAGAGGAGAUGGACGUGAAGGAUGCAGGCGCCGAAGAUCAGGAGCAGCUCAUGACUGAGGAGAAAGAGGGAGAGGAGGAGAGGCUGAGGGAGAUAAAGGAGGAGGAGACGGAGGAAGCUGGUUUCCCCCUGAACCUGGAGGACUGCAUCACUCUGGAUGAAGUUCACUCAGAUGAUGAAGGUGAAGGUGACGGAGGUGAAGCGUCUCAGCUGGAGGCCAGCAGGGUGGUGUCCUUCAGCGCCGUACCGCAGGGCUGCACCCACGCAGAGCUCAUCAAAGUCAUGAGAGGCUUUGGGACGGUGGUUCGAUACCUGUUGAUCCGGGACCAGCAGCAGGCCUUCGUGGAAAUGUCGAGUCCCUCCGAGGCUCAAACUGCUGCAGAGGAGCUGAACUCCAACUGCAUCAGCAUCAACGGCUGCCGGCUGAUCGGCUCUGUGUCACGGGAAAAUACCAGACUCACCGACGGGUGGGACGUUAAAGGUGACGAAGAUGAGGAGAGGAGGAGUGAGCAAAGUGACAGGAGAACCUCCGAACCAGAGGAGAAGCCAUCUGAGGAGGUUCGUGAGAAAGACGCAUCAGAGACGGAGGUUCAGGAAGGAGAGGAGACGCCAGAGACGAGUCAAGAGACUCCUUCAGACAAGACGGGAGAAAAUAAAACUGAGGGAAAAGAGAGCAGAGAGACUCCAGCAAAGAAAACGGUUCCCGAAGACAAGAAUCCACCUGAAGAUCAGGAUCUCCAACAGCAAAGAGACGCCGAGAAGCUGAGCGACUCCCAUGAACCUGAAGUGAGGGAUCCAGAGAGAGCGGAUCAUCCAGAAACCGCUGAACAGAAUGCUGUGGCGGCGCCACCUUUUGCACCUGCAGGGGGCGCCACUGAAGCAGAACGACUCUCCAAGGCCGUUGGAGCUGAGUUUGUGCGUCCAGUUGUGGGUUAUUACUGCAAUCUGUGUCAGCUGAUCUUCUCUGACGAGGACGAAGCAAAGGGGGACCACUGCCGCACGCCGGCCCACUAUGCCAAAUACCAGGAGAAGACUGGGAAAGAUCCGUGGACCAGCUGA